UUUGUCUUAGAAAUGUAUGAGCAACAGUUUCGUGCAUUGAGAUAAAUGGGAUAUGUGAUGUUGAAGUUUGGUGCUUUUAGUACUCAUUUUCACUUCUUUGAAUUCUGAUGAUUUAGUUUGACGUGUGGGAUGACAUGGGGAAGAACAUACUUGUGAAGUUUAAGUUCGAGUCUUGUUUAAGUGUUCUGAUUCUGGGAUCAGGAUAUAAUGAUUCAAGGCAUUGUGUUUUAUGCUUGCUACUUGAAUUGCUAUUUAUCUGCUAUUGUGGUGUAUGAUUUGUAACGUUUGCCUUGUACCUCUGCAGAUAGUUAAUACGUUUCCAAAUCCAUGAAGUAUAAUAAAGAAGCAAAACCGG
rnacentral:lncRNA from 1 species